rfam:Crassostrea gigas strain 05x7-T-G4-1.051#20 contig16660, whole genome shotgun sequence.
GUGCUUGCAAUGAUGAGAGAACUUUCCCCAGCAUAUCGACAGAUGCUGAUAACUAUGCUGUUAUGUCAAGCCAAAGUCUGAUGCAGGCAC